rnacentral:rRNA from 1 species
GACGAACGCUGGCGGCGUGCUUAACACAUGCAAGUCGAACGGUGAAGCGCCUUCCUUUUUGGUGGGUGUGGAUGAGUGGCGAACGGGUGAGUAACACGUGAGUAACCUGCCCCCUUCUUCUGGAUAACCGCAUGAAAGUGUGGCUAAUACGGGAUAUUCUGGGUCUGUCGCAUGAUGGGUCUGGGAAAGAUAUUGUUUCGGUGGGGGAUGGGCUCGCGGCCUAUCAGCUUGUUGGUGGGGUGAUGGCCUACCAAGGCGGUGACGGGUAGCCGGCCUGAGAGGGUGGACGGUCACACUGGGACUGAGACACGGCCCAGACUCCUACGGGAGCCAGCAGUGGGGAAUAUUGCACAAUGGGCGCAAGCCUGAUGCAGCGACGCCGCGUGAGGGAUGGAGGCCUUCGGGUUGUGAACCUCUUUCGCCAGUGAAGCAGGCCUGCCUCGUUUGUGGGUGGGUUGACGGUAGCUGGAUAAGAAGCGCCGGCUAACUACGUG